GCCGGUGUAAAUGAUGAACUCACUUUUUUCCCCAUCAGAUCGACCAUGUUGAUGUCUUUGAAUACUUGCCAGUUAAUUCUGAUAACACCGGC
ensembl:snoRNA